rnacentral:rRNA from 1 species
CAACAGAUUGUACGUGCUUGCACAGACUUGACGUUGGUUUCAAAUGAGCGGCGGACGGGUGAGUAACACGUGGGUAACCUCCCCCGAAGCGGGGGAUAACAUUUGGAAACAGAUGCUACAUACCGCAUAACAAUUUGAAUCACAUGAUUCUCAUUUAGAAGAUGGUUUCGGCUAUCACUUCGGGAUGGGCCUGCGGUGCAUUAGCUAGUUGGUAAGGUAACGGCCUACCAAGGCUGUGAUGCGUAGCCGAGUAGAGAGACUGAUCGGCCAGAAUGGAACUGAGACACGGUCCAUACUCCUACGGGAGGCAGCAGUAAGGAAUCUUCCACAAUGGGCGCAAGCCUGAUGGAGCAACACCGCGUGAGUGAAGAAGGGUUUCGGCUCGUAUAGCUCUGUUGUUAGAGAAGAACGAGCGAGAGAGCAACUGUUCACGCAUUGACGGUAUCUAACCAGAAAGUCACGGCUAACUACGUGCCAGCAGCCGCGGUAAUACGUAGGUGGCGAGCGCUAUCCGGAUUGAUUGGGCGUAAAGCGAGCGCAGGCGGUUUGAUAAGACGGAUGUGAAAGCCUUUGGCUUAACCAAAGAAGUGCAUCGGAGACUGACUGACUUGAGUGCAGAAGAGGACAGUGGAACUCCAUGUGUA